GGGGGUAUGGCGGAAUUGGUAGACGCUACGGACUUAAAAUCCGUUGGCUUUAUUGACCGUGAGGGUUCAAGUCCCUCUACCCCCA
rnacentral:tRNA from 131 species